GGGCAGGGGGGCGCGCCCCGGGAAGGGGCCAGGGCUUCCCAGCAACCCCAGGGCAGCUCGCGUUCAGGUUCCAAAGACAAGCCGACCCCCCCACGGACAGAGACACGAGCGCUGACCGUGGAGAUUGCCAGCGAGGACGGGAGCCGCGGGCGAUGUGGAAGUAGAAAGUGAGCCGUGCCCGCGACAGGCAGCAGCGUGCCUCCGAGGCGGACGGACGCGCUCUGCCCCGCCCCCCCAGCAACGGGAGAGAGGCAGAUGCAGGCAGAUUCACAACCAGGUCACGGAAUCUCUCAGCGCCCCCGGGCAGGGCACACGCUGCUGCCCUUUCGGGGCUGUUGGGUCCUAUCACGCAGGCACCAGUGAGCUGAUUGACAUGCAGCUCAGCCGAGUCAGGCGAGCCUCUCUGUGACCGAGCACUGCGGGAGUGAAGGGCCUCGGGUGAGACAUGCCACUGAGUGUCUGCGUGUCAGGUCGAGGGUAGAGGCUGCGGCAGGGUGACAGGACAGGCCUCAGGUCCCAGGAGGUCUCAGAGGAGGGAAGAGCGCGGAGAGACAGCACAGCACAGCCUCGCACGCAGCCAGCCUGGGCUCAUCUCCAGCAUCACAUCUGCUCCCCUGAGCACAGAGCCAGGAGUCAUCCCCCAGCACAGCCAGGAGUGGGUGGAAGUGGAGGUUGUCGGGCCGUGAGGAGCAGCGAGGGGCUUACUGGGGCGAGCUGGCUGCCGCUGCCCCGUCUCCGCACGCUUCCCAAGGACUCUGGGCGGCUGCGCACUGAGCUCUGCGGGGUGCCCGGCAGAGAGGGUGCCGCACCCCCUCCGCACAGUGGAGGCCGGACGGCCACUGUCGGCUGAAGAGCUCUGGACACUGGGGCCUCUGGGGCGCAGUCCCAGAAGCUGCCAGCAAGGUGAGUGUCCCUCCCCGCACGCCUGCCUCGCGAGCUGACCGCGGCCGCCCACCCCACGUGCAGCCAUUCCCAUAAAUGUCAGGUCAGGGUGAAACGGUGGGAGACACUGCAGCAGCCGUGCGGGCAGGACAGUGGGCACCCCCACACCGUGCCAGGAGUAACCCCUGAGCACCGCUGGGUGCGGCCCCCAACCUAAGCCCCCAAGCCCCGCAGGGCCAGCUCCGACAAGGCCCAGACUACCCAGUGGAGCACUCCCGGGUCGCCAGGGUGCAUCUUUAAAGCCAAGUAGCCAGCUGGCGGGCACUGUGCAGACGCGCACCGGGCACGCGCGGCUCACGGCGCGAGCCCACUCCUGGCCGGAGAGGCGCGGCACCGGGGAGCACGAGUGGGGAGGGAAAGAGCGGACACGGCUGGGGCUGGAGUGAUAGCACAGCGGGUAGGGUGUUUGCCUUGCACGUGGCCGACCCGGGUUCGAAUCCCAGCAUCCCAUAUGGUCCCCUGAGCACCGCCAGGGGUAAUUCCUGAGUGCAGAGCCAGGAGUAAC